rnacentral:tRNA from 1 species
GCAUUGUUGGCUCAGUGGUAGAGUUCUCACCUUCCAUGCUGAAGAUCAGGGUUUGAUUCCCUGCCAAUGGG